rnacentral:rRNA from 1 species
UACGUAGGGUCCGAGCGUUGUCCGGAAUUACUGGGCGUAAAGAGCUCGUAGGUGGUUUGUCGCGUUGUUCGUGAAAACUCACAGCUCAACUGUGGGCGUGCGGGCGAUACGGGAAGACUAGAGUACUGCAGGGGAGACUGGAAUUCCUGGUGUAGCGGUGGAAUGCGCAGAUAUCAGGAGGAACACCGGUGGCGAAGGCGGGUCUCUGGGCAGUAACUGACGCUGAGGAGCGAAAGCGUGGGGAGCGAACAGG